AGCAAAAUGAUGAGUCUAUGCCUCUGAAUUUCAUGUAGAUGCACACCAUGUAAUGGUCUUCAAAGUUCUCUGAUUGCU